GACAGGUGCUGCAUGGCUGUCGUCAGCUCGUGUCGUGAGAUGUUGGUUAAGUCCCGCAACGAGCGCAACCCUUGUCUUUAGUUGCCAUCAUUUAGUUGGGCACUCUAAAGUGACUGCCGGUGUCAAACCGGAGGAAGGUGGGGAUGACGUCAAGUCCUCAUGGCCUUUAUGACCAGGGCUACACACGUACUACAAUGGCCGGUACAAAGGGCAGCCACUUAGCGAUAAGGAGCCAAUCCCGUAAAGCCGGUCUCAGUCCGGAUUGGAGUCUGCAACUCGACUCCAUGAAGUUGGAAUCGCUAGUAAUCGCAGAUCAGCACGCUGCGGUGAAUACGUUCCCGGGCCUU
rnacentral:rRNA from 1 species